CAAUAGCGUAUAUUAACGUUGUUGCAGUUAAAAAGCUCGUAGUUGGAUUUCUGGAGGGAGCGUCGGCCCGUAUUUACGAGUGCGUGACGUCUCUGUCCAUCCUUGCGGGAAGGCACGGCAUUGAUUUGUUGUGUCGGAUCGCAUCAUUUACUGUGAAAAAAUUAGAGUGUUCAAAGCAGGCUUUCGCUUGAAUACAUUAGCAUGGAAUAAUAAGAUAGGACUUUGGUGCUAUUUUGUUGGUUGAGCCUAAAGUAAUGAUUAAUAGGGAUAGUUGGGGGCACCUGUAUUGCGUUGUCAGAGGUGAAAUUCUUGGAUUUGCGCAAGACAAACAGCUGCGAAAGCGUCUGCCAAGGAUGUUUUCAUUA
rnacentral:rRNA from 1 species